AGAGUUUGAUCCUGGCUCAGACGAACGCUGGCGGCGUGCUUAACACAUGCAAGUCGAACGAUGAAGCCUUUCGGGGUGGAUUAGUGGCGAACGGGUGAGUAACACGUGGGCAAUCUGCCCUGCACUCUGGGACAAGCCCUGGAAACGGGGUCUAAUACCGGAUGACACUUCGGUCCGCAUGGUCUGUGGUUGAAAGCUCCGGCGGUGCAGGAUGAGCCCGCGGCCUAUCAGCUUGUUGGUGAGGUAGUGGCUCACCAAGGCGACGACGGGUAGCCGGCCUGAGAGGGCGACCGGCCACACUGGGACUGAGACACGGCCCAGACUCCUACGGGAGGCAGCAGUGGGGAAUAUUGCACAAUGGGCGAAAGCCUGAUGCAGCGACGCCGCGUGAGGGAUGACGGCCUUCGGGUUGUAAACCUCUUUCAGCAGGGAAGAAGCGCAAGUGACGGUACCUGCAGAAGAAGCGCCGGCUAACUACGUGCCAGCAGCCGCGGUAAUACGUAGGGCGCAAGCGUUGUCCGGAAUUAUUGGGCGUAAAGAGCUCGUAGGCGGUCUGUCGCGUCGGAUGUGAAAGCCCGGGGCUUAACCCCGGGUCUGCAUUCGAUACGGGCAGACUAGAGUGUGGUAGGGGAGAUCGGAAUUCCUGGUGUAGCGGUGAAAUGCGCAGAUAUCAGGAGGAACACCGGUGGCGAAGGCGGAUCUCUGGGCCAUUACUGACGCUGAGGAGCGAAAGCGUGGGGAGCGAACAGGAUUAGAUACCCUGGUAGUCCACGCCGUAAACGGUGGGAACUAGGUGUUGGCGACAUUCCACGUCGUCGGUGCCGCAGCUAACGCAUUAAGUUCCCCGCCUGGGGAGUACGGCCGCAAGGCUAAAACUCAAAGGAAUUGACGG
rnacentral:rRNA from 1 species